GGCCCUACGGGGGGCAGCAGUGGGGAAUAUUGCACAAUGGGGGAAACCCUGAUGCAGCAACGCCGCGUGAGUGAAGAAGUAUUUCGGUAUGUAUAGCUCUAUCAGCAGGGAAGAAGAAAGACGGUACCUGACUAAGAAGCCCCGGCUAACUACGUGCCAGCAGCCGCGGGAAUACGUAGGGGGCAAGCGUUAUCCGGAUUUACUGGGGGUAAAGGGAGCGUAGACGGCUGUGCAAGUCUGAAGUGAAAGCCCGUGGCUCAACCGCGGACAUGCUUUGGGAACUGUAUAGCUUGAGUACUGGUGGG
rnacentral:rRNA from 1 species